rnacentral:tRNA from 1 species
UUCCUGGUGGCUCAGUGGUAAAGAAUCUGCCUGCAAUGCAGGAAACCCUGGUUCUACUCCUGUUUGGAAG